GUAGUCUGAAGCCAACUUAAAGGAAACUGUUGAUGUGGCUAUCAGGGUAAUGACAAUAUCAAUAUUCUCUUUGUCUAUGAUACCAAAUUACUCAUCAACCAGAAGUGAAAAUACAAAUCGAAACCUCGGCCUCUUUCGGAUCAAGUUCUAACGAAUAAAUUCACAGAUCCUAGUCCGGAAAGUUCUAAAGAUUUUUGAUCAUUUAAUAACAUUAAGCAAAAUAAACUUACAUAUAAUAAACGUAACUAGAAAAAAAAAUCCAUGAAAAUAAACUUACAUAUUAAAAACAUAAC